rnacentral:rRNA from 1 species
GACGGAGGGUGCUAGCGUUGUUCGGAAUCACUGGGCGUAAAGGGCGCGUAGGCGGCCUUGCAAGUCGGUUGGUGAAAGCCCGGGGCUCAACCCCGGAGGUGCGGCCGAGACUGCAGGGCUGGAGGCCGGAAGAGGAGGGUGGAAUACCCAGUGUAGAGGUGAAAUUCGUAGAUAUUGGGUGGAACACCGGUGGCGAAAGCGGCUCUCUGGGCAGAUACUGACGCUGAGACGCGAAAGCAUGGGGAGCAAACAGG